AUGAGCAGCGAGAUCUGCCAGAAUUAUUCCGCCAAGGUGGAGGCUGCACUCCAGCGCCUGGUAAACCUGCAUCUGCGGGCCUCCUACACCUACCUCUCUCUGCGCUUUUAUUUUGAAGGUAACGAUGUAGCUCUGAAGGGCAUGGGCCGCUUCUUCCAAAAGUUGGCUGAGGAGAAGCACGAGGGUGCCCAGCGCUUCUUGAAGAUGCAAAACCAGUGGAGCGGCUGCCCCCACCUCCAGGAUGAGCAGAAACUACCGGAAAAUGAGUGGCUUAGCAGCGUGGAUGCUAUGGAAGCUGCGAUGGCCAUGGAGAAGAACCUGAACCAGGCCCUUCUGGAUCUGCAUGCCCUGGGUUCUGCCAACACAGAUCCUCGUCUCUGUGACUUUCUGGAGAGCCAUUUCCUGGAAGAGGAGAUGAAACUCAUCAAGAAGAUGGGUGACCACCUGACCAACCUCCACAGGCUGGCUGGCCCCCAGGCCGGGCUGAGCGAGUAUCUCCUCGAAAGGCUUACCCCGAAGCACGACUAGGAGACUCCGGUGCCCAGCAGCCUUUGAGGAACCCGUCUGCAUUCCACUGGUGUCAGGA